rnacentral:rRNA from 1 species
CGUUCCGUCUAGAAACACGGGCCAGGGAGCUUGCUGUCAUGGCGAGCCUAAACCAAGAAUGGUGGAGGCGAAGGGAAACCGAGUUUUCGCAACCUCGUAAGAGGUGAGGAAAAGCGUGUGAAAGUGCGUAGAGUCAUGGCGGUAAGGCUAGAAGCCAGUCGAUCUAUUCCUGGGCUAGAUGAAGGCGGGCGAAAGCCCGCUGGAGGUCUUAAGACGUGCUGACGUGCAAAUCGUUGUUGUGACCUGGGAAUAGGGGUCAAAAACCAAUCUAGUCUGGCGAUCGCUAGUUCCAACCGAAGCGUCUCGCAGGGCGUGCUUUGCAGAGAUGGCAUUUCCGGUAGAGCACUGAUAGGGCGGCGCGGGAAAGAAAUUUCUCACCGUCCAUUCAAACUCCGAACGGAUAUGCAUCGUAGAAGCAAGGACACGGGUUCGUGUGACGUAAGGUUCACGACCGAAAGGGGUUUAACCCAGACCAAAGUUAAGGUCCCCAAAUUUUUGCUAAGUGUCAAGCCAAAGUGCGUGUUCGUGCCAAGACAGCAGGGAGGUAAGCUCAGAAGCAGCUAUCCUUUAAAAAGUGUGUAACAACUUACCUGCCGAGUGUGGGCGCCUCAAAAACGGACGGGGCUAAAGCAAAGUACCGAUACUUUGGAUAAUUAUUAUUUGAUAAUUCGUGGUAGGUUGGCGUAGUGAUUGGGACGAAGCUGGGCAGUGAUGUCCUGUGGACCAAUUUCUAUUGCAGAUCCUGGUGGCAGUAACAGCAUAGUAUGGUGAGAAUCCAUACCACCGCAAGCGCAAGGGUUUCCAGGCAAUGCGUUUUCAGCCUGGAGUUAGUCGAUCCUAAGAGUUGCCUCAAAAGAGUAAUUCGAAAGGGAAACUAGUUAAUAUUCUAGUACCUUGUUGCAAGCGUUUGAGCUAUAUGGUUUGCUUCCGGAUAGGGAUUGUAUAACCGUCGUUGUAUCUAACUGUUCGAGAGUUGGGGAGUGUCGUAAUGACGAGAACCGAUUCGAGGCAGGAAUGGCUUCGCGUUAGCGGAGUUUUCUCAAUUCCAGGAGACCAUGAAAGACUGUAUAGUUAGCGUGUAGCAAGCUCGUACCCAGAUCCGACACAGGUGCGCUGGAUUAGUAAUCUAAGGUGCUACGGGUAUACCGUAUGGCGAGGGAAUUCGGCAAAUUAGUCCUGUAGCUUCGGUAUAAGGGAUGCCUGCUGUCUUCAUGAGGAAUGGGGAUAGCAGGUUGCAAUGACAAGGGGGUCCCGACUGUUUAAUAAAAACACAGGUGACUGCUAGUCCGAAAGGAUUUGUAUAGUCACUGAAUCCUGGCCGGUGCUGGUACCUAAAACUUGGGUUCAACCGAGCUAAGGGCCAGUUAACGCCGGGAGUAACUCUGACUCUCUUAAGGUAGCCAAAUGCCUUGUCGGGUAAGUUCCGACGCGCAUGAAUGGAACAACGAGAGCCCCACUGUCCCCGCCUACAACCCGGUGAAGCCACAUAAGGUGGACGAACAGUCCAUCAUCUUCCAUCGGGGAGAGAAGACCCCGUGGAGUUUUACUGCAGCUUGUGCUUGUGGUAUAGUAAAGAUUGCACAGAGUAUCUGGGAGCCAUGCUUAACGUUCUCCGGGAUGUUAAGAAGCGCCGAUGUAACACCAGACUCUUUUUGUAGUACCACUUAUCUGGUGAAGACCAGAAACAUGUGCUGGUGGGCAGUUCGGCUGGGGCGGCACCCCUUUGAAAAGAUAUCAAAGGGGCCCAAAGUUUAGUUCAAGCGGGUCAGAAAUCCGCUGAAGAGGGCAAAGCCAAAAACUAGACUGACUGGAUUUCCAAACGCACGGAAUUCAGAGACGAAAGUCGGGCUUAGCGAUCCUUCGUGUGCCCACUAUUGGGGCCCGGAGGUGACAGAAAAAUUACCCCAGGGAUAACAGGCUCGUCGCGGGCGAGAGCUCCUAUCGACCCCGCGGUUUGGUACCUCGAUGUCGGCUUUUCCUAUCCUGGUCCUGCAGCAGGGGCCAAGGGUGAGGCUGCUCGCCUAUUAAAAGGGAACAUGAGCUGGGUUUAGACCGUCGUGAGACAGGUCGGUCUCUGCCUGAUGGAAGCGUGGAUGUCUGAGGGGAACUUGCUCCGAGUACGAGAGGAACAGAGCAGGGUGGCCACUGGUCUACCGGUUGUCUGAUAAGGCAGGCCGGGCAGCUAAGCCGUUUAGGCUAAGUGCUGAAAGCAUCUAAGCACGAAUCCUAUCCCGAGACAAGACAUCCUUUCGU